UACGUAGGGCGCGAGCGUUGUCCGGAAUUAUUGGGCGUAAAGAGCUCGUAGGCGGCUUGUCACGUCGGGUGUGAAAGACCGGGGCUUAACUCCGGUUCUGCAUUCGAUACGGGCUGGCUAGAGUGUGGUAGGGGAGAUCGGAAUUCCUGGUGUAGCGGUGAAAUGCGCAGAUAUCGAGAGGAACACCUGCGGCGAAGGCGGGUUGCUGGGCUGACACUGACGCUGAGGCGCGAAAGCUAGGGGAGCGAACGGG
rnacentral:rRNA from 1 species